AACGAACGCUGGCGGCGCGCCUAAUACAUGCAAGUCGAGCGAGAAGACGUAGCAAUACGUUUGUAAAGCGGCGAACGGGUGAGGAAUACAUGGGUAACCUACCCUCGAGUGGGGAAUAACUAGCCGAAAGGUUAGCUAAUACCGCGUACGCUCCUUGGACUUCGGUUCAGGGAGGAAAGCGAUACCGUGGGUAUCGCGCUCUUGGAGGGGCUCAUGUCCUAUCAGCUUCGUUGGUGAGGUAACGGCUCACCAAGGCUUCGACGGGUAGCUGGUCUGAGAGGACGAUCAGCCACACUGGCACUGCGACACGGGCCAGACUCCUACGGGAGGCAGCAGUAAGGAAUAUUGCGCAAUGGGCGAAAGCCUGACGCAGCGACGCCGCGUGGGGGAUGAAGGUCUUCGGAUUGUAAA
rnacentral:rRNA from 1 species